rnacentral:rRNA from 1 species
GAUGAACGCUGGCGGCGUGCUUAACACAUGCAAGUCGAACGAAGCACUUCAUAAAGUUUACUUUAAGAAGUGACUUAGUGGCGGACGGGUGAGUAACGCGUGGGUAACCUGCCUUACACAGGGGGAUAACAGUUAGAAAUGACUGCUAAUACCGCAUAAAACAGCAGAGUCGCAUGACUCAACUGUCAAAGAUUUAUCGGUGUAAGAUGGACCCGCGUCUGAUUAGCUGGUUGGUGGGGUAACGGCCUACCAAGGCGACGAUCAGUAGCCGGCCUGAGAGGGUGAACGGCCACAUUGGGACUGAGACACGGCCCAAACUCCUACGGGAGGCAGCAGUGGGGAAUAUUGGACAAUGGGCGAAAGCCUGAUCCAGCGACGCCGCGUGAGCGAUGAAGUAUUUCGGUAUGUAAAGCUCUAUCAGCAGGGAAGAAAACGACGGUAC